AUUUCAGUAGCUCAGUCGGUAGAGCGCCGGGCUAGCAUUCCGGAGUCGCGAGUUCAAAUCUCGCCCGAUACA